GUGAGAUCUGCAGGAUCAGAGUCCUGGAGGUCCCACAAAUGAAGGGAGGUGGCAAGGUGGACUGAUGGCGAUAUGUAUCUGGCUCAUCUGACCGUGAGUAACCACGACCAAAACGUUUUCACUGCUUCCUUAGGUGCAGGACUCUCUACUUUUUAAAGACAAUGGUCCUUUCCAUUAAUGACCCACCAAGGAUGGAGAAGGACAGAGACCACAUGGCUGCGAUGAUAUUAGACCUCACCCUGGAGAUCGUCUCCUUGAUUAAUGGAGAGGAUUACACAGUAGUGAAGAAGUCUGGUGAGUGUGUGACACCCCGUGUGUCAGGAAGAUGGAGGCAGGACCCAGGACUUGUGUUGUCAGGUUCCUAUAAGGUGUCAGGAUGUUGCUAGUCUAUUUCUCCAUGGAGGAGUGGGAGUAUUUAGAAGGACACAAGGAUCUGUACAAGAACGUCAUGACUGGAGAAUCACCAGUCCCUCACAUCAUCAGGUUUCUUACGUACAGGACUCAACUUUUUAAAGAUAAUGGUCCUUUCCUUCAAGGACCCACCAAAGAUGGAGAAGAACAGAAACCACAUGGCUGCGAGGAUAUUAGACCUCACCCUGGAGAUCAUCUCCUUGAUAACUGGAGAGGAUUACACAGUAGUGAAGAAGUCGUCUGGUGAGUGUGUGACACCCCGUGUGUCAGGA